CAGGAAUGCAGUGGAGGAAAAUGGCUGAGAACACUGGCCCUGAGGGGGACAGACCUGGAUUUCAGCCCAAGCUUUGCCACUUACUAGCUGGGACACCCUGGUCAUUAUCUCAACCCCCUUCUUGUUCUUCACCUGUGAAACAGCCUGACUUCCACAGACACCUGAAGUGUGGGGCCACACUGUCAAGUCGCCCCUUGUCACCAUGACUGGGAUGUAUAUCACAGAUCUGCUUCAUCGCAGCACAGUCUGGAAGGAAGCCUGGGAUUCCAGGGCUGGGAGAGACCUCGAGAGACAGUCAAGCUCAUCACUUCAACUGCAGGCAGAGAAAUGCAAAUAUAAGAGCUGAUUCCUAAG
rnacentral:lncRNA from 10 species